AUGCAAGUCGAGGGGUAUAGUUCUUCGGAACUAGAGACCGGCGCACGGGUGCGUAACGCGUAUGCAAUCUACCUUUCACAAAGGGAUAGCCCAGAGAAAUUUGGAUUAAUACCUUAUAGUAUAACGACUUCGCAUGGAGAUGUUAUUAAAGAUUUAUCGGUGAAGGAUGAGCAUGCAUCCCAUUAGCUAGUUGGUAAGGUAACGGCUUACCAAGGCUACGAUGGGUAGGGGUCCUGAGAGGGAGAUCCCCCACACUGGUACUGAGACACGGACCAGACUCCUACGGGAGGCAGCAGUGAGGAAUAUUGGUCAAUGGGCGCAAGCCUGAACCAGCCAUGCCGCGUGCAGGAUGACGAUCCUAUGGAUUGUAAACUGCUUUUGUACAGGAAGUAACACUCCCUCGUGAGGGAGCUUGACGGUACUGUAAGAAUAAGGAUCGGCUAACUCCGUGCCAGCAGCCGCGGUAAUACGGAGGAUCCAAGCGUUAUCCGGAAUCAUUGGGUUUAAAGGGUCCGUAGGCGGCUUAAUAAGUCAGUGGUGAAAGCCCUACGCUUAACGUAGGAACGGCCAUUGAUACUGCUAGGCUUGAAUUAUUAGGAAGUAACUAGAAUAUGUAGUGUAGCGGUGAAAUGCUUAGAGAUUACAUGGAAUACCAAUUGCGAAGGCAGGUUACUACUAAUGGAUUGACGCUGAUGGACGAAAGCGUGGGUAGCGAACAGGAUUAGAUACCCUGGUAGCCCACGCCGUAAACGAUGGAUACUAGCUGUUGGGAGCAAUCUCAGUGGCUAAGCGAAAGUGAUAAGUAUCCCACCUGGGGAGUACGAACGCAAGUUUGAAACUCAAAGGAAUUGACGGGGGCCCGCACAAGCGGUGGAGCAUGUGGUUUAAUUCGAUGAUACGCGAGGAACCUUA
rnacentral:rRNA from 1 species